UCAACGAUGCUUAAAGUUUUGCAUUUCUUGAUAAGACUUUGAAUACUGGCAGAUUCCGAAGUAAUGAGUUUGGAAUGUUCUUCAUCAGGAUGAAUGUAUACCACAGCAUCUGAUUUGAUUCCAUUUUCAGCCAUCAUUGAACGAGUAGAGUGAACGACAGUAAUGAUAGACUCGUAAUAUUUAGCAGCUAUCUCGUUAGAAUAGUCUACCCUUUCAACUGGGAAAGCAGCUUUAACGAUAGUCUGAGUUUUGUCUCCAGGACGACGAGGAAGUCUCUGCCACAUCUCUUCAGUAACGUAUGGCAUAAAAGGAUGCAUUAAACGAAGAGCGUUGUCAAGGACAGUAUAGAGGGUUUGCU